AAUGAACGUUGGCGGCGUGGAUUAGGCAUGCAAGUCGAGCGAGAACCCGCAAGGGGGACAGCGGCAAACGGGGUAGGAAUGAUUGGUGACGUACCCUCGGGACGGGGAUAGCCACGGAAAACUGUGGGUAAUACCCGAUAAUCUCCCAGGUUUGAGGACCUGGGUGCAAAGGUGUGAUUCCACCGGAGGAGCGGCCAAUCUGUAUUAGCUAGUUGGUAGGGUAACGGCCUACCAAGGCUACGAUGCCUAGGGGGUGUGAGAGCAUGGCCCCCACCACUGGGACUGAGAUACUGCCCAGACACCUACGGGUGGCUGCAGUCGAGAAUCUUCGGCAAUGGGCGAAAGCCUGACCGAGCGACGCCGCGUGCGGGAUGAAGGCCUUCGGGUUGUAAACCGCUGUCAGAGGGGGUGAAGUUCUAGGAGGUUCUCCUUCUAGAUUGACAGAGCCUCAGAGGAAGCACGGGCUAAGUAUGUGCCAGCCGCCGCGGUAAUAC
rnacentral:rRNA from 1 species